AUGUAUUCAAACUCUCCUGUACGGGGAUGCCCCUCUCAGAGUCCCCUGAACGAGUGCCCCCAGCUUUCCGGCUCGCAGAAGCUGUGUGCUUGGACGGAACCCCGCGCGCAGCCUUGUCUGGCCUUGUCUUUCAGGAGCUGGCUGGCCCUCGCAGUCGCUGCGCUUCUGGGUCCGAAACCCUCGGCCUGCGGCCCUCCACCUGGUCCCCGGCCAAACAUCCUCCUUCUGAUGGCGGACGAUCUCGGCAUUGGAGACGUCGGUUGCUACGGCAACAGCACCCUCAGGACUCCAAACAUCGACCGCCUUGCGGCGGAUGGCGUGAGGCUCACCCAGCAUCUGGCCGCUGCCCCUGUGUGCACGCCAAGUAGAGCGGCGUUUUUAACGGGCAGAUACCCCCUCCGAUCAGGUAUGGUUUCCAGUCAAGGCCUCCGUGUUCUUCAGUGGACAGCGGUGUCUGGAGGACUUCCGCCCAGUGAAAUAACUUUUGCAAAAAUACUGAAAGCUAAAGGCUAUACCACCGGACUCGUAGGAAAAUGGCAUUUGGGUCUCAGCUGUGCGUCUCCCGACGAUCACUGCCACCAUCCGCUCAAUCACGGCUUCGACCAUUUCUACGGAAUGCCAUUCAGCAUGAUGGCGGACUGCGAGCGCUGGGGACUAUCCGAGAAGCGUGCGGUCCUGGAGCGUCGCCUCGACGUCUGCUCCCAGCUCGUGGCCCUGGCCACCCUCACACUCACAAUCGGGAAACUCACCCGCCUGAUACUGGCCGCCUCCUGGACGCUGGUCAUCUGGUCGACUGUCGUGUGCCUCCUGCUCUUCGCCACUUCCUGUUUGGUGGGCGCCCUGAUCGAGCACGCGGACUGCUUUCUGAUGCGGAAUCAUUCCAUCGCACAGCAGCCCAUGCGCUCUCAGAAGACGAUGCCGCUCAUACUCCGGGAGGUCUCAUCCUUCAUCAAAAGAAACAAGCAAGGGCCUUUCCUCCUCUUUGUGUCCUUCCUGCACGUCCACACCCCUCUUGUCACGACUGAGAACUUCCGUGGGAGGAGUGCCCACGGGCUUUACGGGGACAACACCGAAGAGAUGGACUGGAUGGUGGGCCAGAUCCUUGAGACUUUGGACACAGAAGGGUUGACCAACAGCACCCUGGUUUAUUUUACAUCGGAUCACGGCGGAUCCUUAGAGGCUCAGUUUGGAAACAACCAAUACGGUGGCUGGAAUGGGGUAUAUAAAGGCGGCAAAGGCAUGGGCGGCUGGGAAGGCGGGAUCCGGGUCCCGGGGAUAUUCCGAUGGCCCGGGGUCCUGCCGGCCGGCCGCGUGAUCCACGAGCCCACCAGCCUGAUGGACGUCUUCCCCACCCUGGUCCACCUUGCGGGCGGCCAGGUGCCCCAGGACAGGAGGCGCAGUGUGGAAAGUCCACUUUGCCACCCCCGUCUUCCAGCCGGACGGUGCGGGCGCCUGCUAUGGGCAGGCAGUGUGCCCCUGCUCAGGAGACAAGGUGACCCACCACAUCCCACCGCUGCUGUUCGACCUGUCCCGAGACCCUUCCGAGGCCCACGCCCUCACGCCGGACACGGAGCCGUCGUUCCACGUGGUGGUGGAGACCGUGGCCCGGGCCGUGGAGGCCCAUCGACGGACGCUGAGCCCCGUUCCGCUGCAGCUGGACGCGGCGGACAACACGUGGAAGCCGUGGCUGCAGCCGUGCUGUGGGCGGUUUCCCUUCUGCUGGUGCGAUCGGGAUGCGGACUCACGAUAGGAGCCCAGCUGGGAAUACCCGCUCACUGGGGUCAAACAAAUAUAAAACAUCGGUGUGGAGUCAAGUCGCCUGCCUGUGUGGGCUUGAAUGCUUUCACCUAGAAUGCAGGCUUGGGGUUGGUGCGGGGUGGUGGGGGUGGUGGGAAGGAAAGCCUGAGAUGUAUGAAGAGUAACAUGGAAACUCACAUUGCAGCUGUGUUGUGCCAGACUCUUUGCGACCCCAUGGACUGUAGCCCCACCAGGCUCCUCUGUCCAUGGGAUUCUCCAGGCAAGAAUACAGGAGCGGCUUGCCAAGCCCUCCUCUAGGGGAUCUUCCCGACCCAGAGAUCCAACCGCAUUGCAGGCGGAUUCUUUACCAGCUGAGCCACCAGGGAAGCCCGGAGGAAACUUCCAUGACCACAUGUAAAUUACAUAAGCGAUGGGGAUUUGCUGUAUGACUCAGGGAACUCAAGCAGGGGUUCGGUGACAACCUCGACGGGUGGGACGGGUGCAGAUGGGAGCAAUGGUCAAGAGGGAGGGGACGUAUGUAUACCUACGGCUGAUUCAUGUUGAGGUUUAGCAGAAGCCAACCACAUUCUGUAAAGCAAUGAUCCUUCAAUUAAAAAGAUAAAUCAAUUAAAAAAAAGAAUCCAGUACUUGUCUGUUUUGACUUUGAGAAAGACAAAUAUCAUAUAUUAAUGUACAUAGGAGAAGGGGAUGACAGAGGAUGAGAUGGCUGGAUGGCAUCACCGACUCAAUGGACAUAAGUCUGAGCAAACUCCGGGAGUUGGUGAUGGACAGGGAGGCCUGGUGUGCUGCGGUCCACGGGGCCACAGAGAGCCGAACGCGACUGAGCGACUGAAUGGAACUGAACUGAAUGCACAUACAUGGAAUCUAGAAAGAGGGUCCUGACAAUCCUAACUGCAGAGCCGCAAAGGAGACGAAGACAUAAAGGACAGACUUGCGGACACAGCGGGGGAAGGACAGACGGAUAGGAUAGCCUUGAAACCUAUGUCCGAUCAUUCGUAAGGUAGAGAGCCAGUUGGAAUUUGCCGUACGAUGCUAGGAAGCCAAAGCUGGCGCUCUGUGACAACCUAUAGGGGUAGGAGAGGGAGGGAAGUUCAAGAGGAAGGGGAUAUAUGUAUACCUACGGCUGAUUCAUGUUGAUGGAUGUCAAAAACCACCACAAUAUUGGGAAGUAAUGACUCUCCAAUAAAAAAGCCUCCAAAGCUAAAAUAUACA
rnacentral:lncRNA from 1 species